CCGUGCCAUCUUUCAGUGAUGCGGAGACAUGGAUUGCUGUGGGGCUCCUUUCCUGGCAGAUGCUGUGCGUGCAUCAGAAUUCCCAUCCUCGCCCCGCUGCUGUGGGACUGCUCAGAUAUCCCCAGUCCCGGUCACCUGAGGUAGCGCUGGCUUUCCUUCAAAACCCUGGGACUCAUCUCUCGGAGGGUCCGGCUGCCCCCUCCCCGCGCCCCCGACAGCUCAGAUGUCAGCGCUUGGGUUUCCCCUCGCUGCUGGGGCCGGCUUGGGGCUGCCGGGAAGGCUUGGAGCUGGGAGGCUCGGAGGCAGCCGGGACGCGCUGGCAAGAGCAGGCGCUUGUGCUGCUUCUGUCUGGCUCUUGGCGCGAGGGCACCCGAGCCUGGGGUGAGCCGGAGCUGCGUGGGAGCUGGAAAAAUGCUGAAUAACUGCGUCCGUGCUGCGGAGGUGCGGAGAGCAUCCUUCCCAGGGUGCCUGAAACCACUGGCGUGGAGGUUUGCUGGUGGGGAAGCAGGCGGCUCCCUGCCCCCUGCUCCUCUCCAAAGAGCAGCGCACGCCCCUUUCUGCUCCCCUUGAUUUUUUGAUGGGUGAGGGCUUGGGCUUGAAAUGCCACAAGCUGAGGAGGUCCUGUGGACCCCGUUGGGGCAGAGAGCCUGGGGACAGAUCCUGGAGACCUACAAAGGUCCCUGCCACACCUCUGUGCCCGGUACCCGGCUGCUGGCACCGGAGAGAGCUCAGUGGGUGCUGUGGGCAGCACAGCCUGGACUGGGGUGAAGCUGGGGCAGCUUCUCAAGGGCUUUGCUCCAAGAGGAGACCAUCGGACUGGGGGAUGUCCUCUGGGAGAGGAGGCAGGUGCUUUCCCUCCUGCACACGCUGCGUCUGCAGAGGGGGGAAAAGGUCUGAUGGAGGCUUGCGAUGAGGGGCUGCAGGCAGAGCCCGGAGCAUCCCUUCACCCCCAGCUGACACCGAGCCCUUCCCUGCGCAGAUUCUCCGCCGGGCGCUCUCCUGCGCUGUUCUGCUCCUCCUGCUCGUCACCGUGCUGAGCAGAGGGAAGAGGUGCAGCAUCGCCAAAAUCCUCCGGCAGUACCGCGCUGUCAUCUUCCACGAGAUCCAGAACCUGAAAAACCUGAGUGGGUCAGAGCAGGGGAGCGGAAGGGCCGGGCCGGCUUGUCGCUCGGACAAGGACCAGAAGAUCCUCUUCUCCAUCUACAACAUCAGCAUGUCCCUGCGGGAGGUGGCAGCCGGCACCCUGCGCGGCCCCGAGGAGCUGGCGGUGGGGAAGGUGACCAGAAACACUGACUUCGUGCUCAGGGAGAACUGCAGGAAAAUCAGCAAGAGCCUGCCGCGCAUCCCGGCACAGCCCCGGAGCAGGGGACCUGGCCGCAGGAGAAAGCAGCUACGGGAGAUCGGGAGGAAGGCGGA